GAUGAACGCUGGCGGCGUGCCUAAUACAUGCAAGUCGAGCGAACAGACGAGGAGCUUGCUCCUUUGACGUUAGCGGCGGACGGGUGAGUAACACGUAGGUAACCUACCUAUAAGACUGGGAUAACUUCGGGAAACUGGAUCUAACACCGGAUAAUAUUUCGAACCGCAUGGUUCGAUAGUGAAAGAUGGCUUUGCUAUCACUUAUAGAUGUACCUGCGCCGUAUUAGCUAGUUGGUAAGGUAACGGCUUACCAAGGCAACGAUACGUAGCCGACCUGAGAGGGUGAUCGGCCACACUGGAACUGAGACACGGUCCAGACUCCUACGGGAGGCAGCAGUAGGGAAUCUUCCGCAAUGGGCGAAAGCCUGACGGAGCAACGCCGCGUGAGUGAUGAAGGUCUUCGGAUCGUAAAACUCUGUUAUUAGGGAAGAACAAACGUGUAAGUAACUGUGCACGUCUUGACGGUACCUAAUCAGAAAGCCACGGCUAACUACGUG
rnacentral:rRNA from 1 species